UGACAUUCAAUUCAAACCCACAAAAUUUUGUUCUACAAGCUUCCCAACUGAUGUGUUCAACAGAUUUGUGAUGAUGGUGACACUAGCUUAAGCUAUCUAUUGAUGUGUUUGAAUUCAAACAUAGUAAAGAUUGAGAUUACCUAAUUUAAUUUCAUUGGAGUUGCAAACCCUAUAGACACGGGAAUAAGUUAAGGGAAUCCAAUAACGAUCGAGAAAGUUUGUUUUGGUCAAGUACUAGAAAGCGACAUUUCUUCACUUGUUCAAACUCCCGCCAACACAAGUAUUUUGUAUAUACCUAUGGAAGUGUUUCUUAAUGGCCACGAAAUAGUGACCUAAGUAGAGGAAUUAUUGCCAUCUGAUUAAUAUAAUGUGGGGAGGUUGGUAGUGUUUUUAUCAAUAGGUGAAUGAUGUUGUAUAAGCUAUGAGUUGAUAAUGAAGUGUGAGGAGAAGAUUAAUAGUAUUAGAUGUGUUGAGUGGAAUUUGAUUUUGACAUAAGCUUUAAAAGGGUGAGAGUUGCUUUGGAUAAGGAGGAAUUGGGGCCUAAUAGCUAGCAGAACCUGCAAAGUGCCAAAGAGGAACUGAGGAUGAAAAACAUUCUGUCAUAUUCCAAAUGGGUCUAUCUCUUUAGCAUCUUUCAAUAAAGAAGGCACUUAAUAGAACAGCUCAUAUGGCUGAGCAGUGCAUAGGAAAAACAAGAAAUGAAGACUGCUGGAGCAUGGUCAAAAGUCCCAAUGAACCAGUAACCCCAGUUUCAGUUUCUUUUUGUGGCUUGAGGUUGGUCCAUUUUGCUUCUUUUCUUUUGAACUGACAGAGUGUAUCAGAUGAUAACCAUUGAUGAGGAAAGUAUGGGAAUGACCAAGUGUGGGACUUGGCUCUAUUUGUCAGUCCAAACAUUUGAAGGAGUUAGAUAAUUGUAUCCUCUCUUCACACUGCCCACCUAAUCAUCACUGCUUUGGAAAUGAGGGACCUAUAAGCCACUCCUAUCAAAUUUUAAUUCUUUUGAUUAACAGAAUGUGUUUCCAACAAAUUGCCACAGGUUUGAUGCAGGGGAGUUUUUGUGACUGUAAUCAGCAUUUGAUCACUCUAACAUAACAUCACAGUGACAUUCUAAGGUUUUUGAGGUGUUUCUAACCAUGAAACAAUCAGAUUAAGAGAGUUGUUUAGCAAGAGAUGCAAAAAAGGGAAGGUGAAAACUAGGAUAGGAACAAGCUAUAGUGGAUGGGGUGCCAAUGUUUUGAUUUUUAGAGAAAGCUGAAAAGGAAAUUAUUGAAAAUUCUUUUGUUUGGACUCGUGAUAUUGCACUUUCAUCUCAUUUUCAUUCCUUUGUUGUCAAACACAUUUUCUUUCCAUUCUUUGUAUUCUUUUGCUAAG
rnacentral:sRNA from 1 species